GGUUCACUGGCGAUGCUGUGCCUGUGAAAGGGGUAAUAACUUUAACCAUGGUUGCAGGUCGGUACCCAAAGCAAUCAAGAGCGCAGGUGGAUUUUUUGGUAGUAAGGGCACCGUCUACCUACAACACAAUACUCGACCGACCUGGCCUCCUACCAAGCCUCAAUGCCCUUCGAGCUAUGGUAUCGACCUACCAUUUGAAGUUGAAAUUUUCUACCAGCC
rnacentral:lncRNA from 1 species